UGAUUUUAUUGAAGCUCAAGAAAGACGCAGGAUUGAAAGAUUGGAAAUAUUCGAUGAAUUUGAAGAGUGGUAUAUGAUGCAGGAGCACUAUUGUGUUACAUAUGCAGUCAAUGAUGCUAUGGGUUUGUUCAAUGAAUUUGGUUUCCCUAAAACACAUCCUACAACAAAUACCUCCAUUGCAACAUCCACAUGAGAAGAGGAUCCUAUCUUUAGACAAAAUCACUCUUUCCAAUCUCAGGUCAUCGGAAUAUGAACGGGAAGCUUGUUACCAG
rnacentral:misc_RNA from 1 species